UGUAAGCGUAUACCAAAGUUGUUGCAGUUAAAACGCUCGUAGUCGGAAUUUGGCAGUUCCGGAUGUGUGCACGUCGUGUGCGCACUUCGCGGGGAUUGCUUUUGUGGUCUUGCGUAGGAUGAGGCACUUUUAUUAGUGAACGUCCUCACGCAACCACUUUUUACUGUGAGAAAAUCAGAGUGCUCAAAGCAGGCAUUUGCCGUGAAUGUAUUAGCAUGGAAUAAUAGAAUAGGACUUGGUUCUAUUUUGUUGGUUUGUUGGGACUGAGUAAUGAUUAAGAGGGACAGUUGAGGGCAUUUGUAUUUCGGUGCUAGAGGUGAAAUUCUUAGAUUACCGAAAGACAAACUGCUGCGAAAGCGUCUGCCAAGGAUGUUUUCAUUGA
rnacentral:rRNA from 1 species